rnacentral:misc_RNA from 1 species
GAAAUGCGAUAAGUAAUGUGAAUUGCAGAAUUCAGUGAAUCAUCGAAUCUUUGAACGCACAUUGCGCCCGCCAGUACUCUGGCGGGCAUGCCUGUUCGAGCGUCAUUUCAACCCUCAAGCCCUGCUUGGUGUUGGGGUCCUACGGCUGCCGUAGGCCCUGAAAGCUAGUGGCGGGCUCGCUACAACUCCGAGCGCAGUAAUGUAUCUCGCUAGGGAAGUGUUGCGGGUUCCGGCCGUUAAACCCCCCAAUUUUACAAGGUUGACCUCGGAUCAGGUAGGAAUACCCGCUGAACUUAA